GCCAUUACUUGUAAUCCCUGCCGUGAGAAUUAUUCGUUCAUGUGAGCACAUUUUUUUUUUUCCAAAAAAACAUUUCUCUAGACAAAUUGUUCAUCAAUUCUUGUGGAAAUGACAAUGCAAGGAUGCAGUUUAAUUUUCUAAGUGACAACUGAUAAUACACCAAAAUAUAGAAAUGAAGUAGAUUUGAACAGAGUUAGCCUUAGUCUUCUUUCCCCCUUUUUCUUGGUUUUGGGUUAGGGUUUCACAAUUAAAGAAUUUAUUAUUCACUCGAAAAGGAAAAGAUUUAUUAUUUCCAAGUUGUAUUGGAGAUGUUUUGUUGAGUUCUUAAGUUUCAUUUACAAAUAGUGCUCUUUGAUUCGCAGCAAGCAAUGAUCUGGCUUUCCAAA
rnacentral:misc_RNA from 1 species